GGAGCAGUGGAGGGCAGUUGGGGGGCGGUGGAGGUCAGUUGGGGGGCAGUGGGGGGCAGUGGAGGGCAGUUGGGGGGCAGUGGGGGGCAGUGGAGGUCAGUUUGGGGGAGCAGUUGGGGGGCGGGGGGGGGCAGUGGACGCUGCGCUGCCCUCAGGGCCCCAUUUGGGUAUGUGGGGCAAAGGGAAGCGCCGCGCUGAGCCCACCCCAUAGGAUCGCGGCCAUCACCCAUCCCCCACUUGGCGGCCCUACAGCCGGGGGGGGUUUGGGGGGGGGGGGGAGCGCUGUGCCCCCCCCGGCAGCGCCUCCGUUUCCCCACGUGCCGCUGAGGGCAGUGAGCCCAGCAGGGGAAGGUGUGAGCGGUAAACACUGCCGCCCUGGAAACCCCAUAACAGAGCGGAGACCCCACAACAGAGCGGAGACCCCACAACAGAGCAGAGACCCCACAACAAACAGAGCGGAGACCCCACAACAAACAGAGCGGAGACCCCACAGCAGAGCGGAGACCCCACAACAACAGAGCGGAGACCCCACAACAAACAGAGCGGAGACCCCACAGCAGAGCGGAGACCCCACAACAAACAGAGCGGAGACCCCAUAACAGAGCGGAGACCCCAUAACAGAGCAGAGGCCCCACAACAAACAGAGGGGAGACCCCAUAACAGAGCGGAGACCCCACAACAACAAAUAGAGCGCUCUGUGAGACCCUAUAAGAAACAAAGGGGGUCCCAUCGGGUCGGCGCUGAAGCGGGUCCCUGCAGCUCCGCACCCCACAGUGAGCAGCAGCCCCGUAUGGUCGGCCCCAUGAGGGAGCGGGGGGGAACCACACAGCGACCCCAUAGCCCCACACAGACCCCAUAGUCCCAUAUAGACCCCAUAGCCCCGCAUGGACUCCAUAGCCCCAUGCAGACCCCAUAGCCCUGCAUGGACCCCAUAGCCCCAUGCAGACCCCAUAGCCCUAUACAGACACCAUAGCCCCGCAUGGACCCCAUAGCCUCAUGCAGACCCCAUAGACCCACACGGACACCAUAGACCCGCAUAGACCCCAUAGUCCCAUACAGACCCCAUAGCCCUAUACAUACCCCACAGCUCCAUACAGACCCCACAGACCCACAUGGACCCCAUUGCCCCAUACAGACCCCAUAGCCUCAUACAGACCCCAUAGCCUCAUACAGACCCCAUAGCCCCACAUGGACCCCAUAGCCCUACACAGACCCCACAGCCCCACAUGGAACAUGGGACCCCGUAACCCUGAGUGGACCCUGGGAUCCCAUAGCCCCACAUGGGCCCCAUAGCCCUACACAAACCCCAUAGCCCUACACAGAACCCACAGCCCUACACAGACCCCAUAGCCUACACAGACCCCAUACCCUACACAGACCCCAUAGCCCUGCACAGACCCCAUAGCCUACACAGACCCCAUACCCUACACAGACCCCAUACCCUACACAGACCCCAUAGCCUACACAGACCCCAUAGCCCCACAUGGAACAUGGGACCCCAUAACCCUGAGUGGACCCUGGGAUCCCAUAGCCCCACAUGGGCCCCAUAGCCCUACACAGACCCCAUAGCCCUGCACAGACCCCAUAGCCCCACAUGGAACAUGGGACCUCAUAACGCUGAGUGGACCCUGGGAUCCCAUAGCUCUACACAGACCCCAUAGCCCUACACAGACCCCAUAGCCCCACAUGGGCCCCAUAGCCCUACACAAACCCCAUAGCCCUACACAGACCCCAUAGCCCCACAUGGAACAUGGGACCCCAUAACGCUGAGUGGACCCUGGGAUCCCAUAGCCCCACAUGGACCCCAUAGCCCUACACAGACCCCAUAGCCUACACAGACCCCAUACCCUACACAGACCCCACAGCCCCACAUGGAACAUGGGACCCCAUAACCCUGAGUGGACCCUGGGAUCCCAUAGCCCCACAUGGGCCCCAUAGCCCUACACAGACCCCAUCGCCUACACAGACCCCAUAGCCUACACAGACCCCACAGCCCCACAUGGAACAUGAGAUCCCACAACCCUGAGUGGACCCUGGGAUCCCAUAGCUCUACACAGACCCCAUAGCCUACACAGACCCCAUAGCCCUACACAGACCCCAUACCCUACACAGACCCCACAGCCCCACAUGGAACAUGGGAUCCCAUAACCCUGAGUGGACCCUGGGAUCCCAUAGCCCUGCACAGACCCCAUAGCCCUACACAGACCCCAUAGCCUACACAGACCCCAUAGCCCCACAUGGGCCCCAUAGCCCUACACAAACCCCAUAGCCCUACACAGACCCCAUAGCCCCACACGGAACAUGGGAUCCCAUAACCCAGAGUGGACCCUGGGAUCCCAUAGCCCUACACAGACCCCACAGCCCCACAUGGAACAUGGGACCCCGUAACCCUGAGUGGACCCUGGGAUCCCAUAGCCCCACAUGGGCCCCAUAGCCCCGCGCAGACCCCACAGUCCCACACGGCCACACAGCGGCUCUAUGGGGCCGUUCCCCCUCAGCCCCACCGCAGACCUAAAAUGGAGCGCAGCGCGGUGGCGUCGCCCCCAUAAGGUUCCGCUUUGGGAUCGGCACCCCGCCGCCGCCCCAUAGACGGCCCUACAGCCGCCUCUCCCGGGGGCGGGGGGGGAGCGGAGGAACCUUUGGCCGAGUUGGAGCGGAGCGGCGGUGGGGCGGCGGCCAACAGCGCUGAGCAGAA
ensembl:lncRNA